rnacentral:rRNA from 1 species
CGGACGGGUGGGUAACGCGUGGGUAACCUGCCUUAUACAGGGGGAUAACAGUCAGAAAUGGCUGCUAAUACCGCAUAAGCGCACAGGGCCGCAUGGCCUGGUGUGAAAAACUGAGGUGGUAUAAGAUGGACCCGCGUUGGAUUAGCCAGUUGGCAGGGUAACGGCCUACCAAAGCGACGAUCCAUAGCCGGCCUGAGAGGGUGACCGGCCACAUUGGGACUGAGACACGGCCCAA